rnacentral:rRNA from 1 species
AACGAACGCUGGCGGCGCGCCUAAUACAUGCAAGUCGAGCGAGAAGACGUAGCAAUACGUUUGUAAAGCGGCGAACGGGUGAGGAAUACAUGGGUAACCUACCCUCGAGUGGGGAAUAACUAGCCGAAAGGUUAGCUAAUACCGCGUACGCUCCUUGGACUUCGGUUCAGGGAGGAAAGCGAUACCGUGGGUAUCGCGCUCUUGGAUGGGCUCAUGUCCUAUCAGCUUGUUGGUGAGGAACGGCUCACCAAGGCUUCGACGGGUAGCUGGUCUGAGAGGACGAUCAGCCACACUGGCACUGCGACACGGGCCAGACUCCUACGGGAGGCAGCAGUAAGGAAUAGUGCGCAAUGGGCGAAAGCCUGACGCAGCGACGCCGCGUGGGGGAUGAAGGU